GGCAGGGUGGCGCAGUGGUUAGCGCGCUCGACUUGCAUUCGGGAGGACGACGGUUCAAACCUCCGUCCUGCCA